GUGAGUAGUUCAGAGUUUGAUCCUGGCUCAGGAUUAACGCUGGCGGCGUGCAUAACACAUUCAAGUCGAACGGAAUCGGGUGCUUCGGUACCUGAUUUAGUGGCGGACGGGUGAGUAACGCGUGAGCAAUCUACCCUCCAGUACGGGAUAACAACCGGAAACAGUUGCUAAUACCGUAUGAAAUGGCAGCAUCGCAUGGUGCAACCAUCAAAGAUUUAUUGCUGGAGGAUGAGCUUGCGUCCGAUUAGAUAGUUGGCGGGGUAAAGGCCCACCAAGUCGACGAUCGGUAGCCGGACUGAGAGGUUGAACGGCCACAUUGGAACUGAGAUACGGUCCAG
rnacentral:rRNA from 1 species